rnacentral:rRNA from 2 species
UCCGGUGGUUUGAGCGCAAGCGUACUACCUCUUCCCAUCCCGAACAGAGUCGUAAAAGCUUGUAGCGGGGACGAUAAUGAAGCCGAAAGGCUUUGUGAAAAUACCUCACUGCCGGAU